rnacentral:rRNA from 1 species
UACGAAGGGGGCUAGCGUUGUUCGGAAUCACUGGGCGUAAAGAGCUCGUAGGCGGCUUGUCACGUCGAUUGUGAAAGCCCGAGGCUUAACCUCGGGUCUGCAGUCGAUACGGGCUAGCUAGAGUGUGGUAGGGGAGAUCGGAAUUCCUGGUGUAGCGGUGAAAUGCGCAGAUAUCAGGAGGAACACCGGUGGCGAAGGCGGAUCUCUGGGCCAUUACUGACGCUGAGGAGCGAAAGCGUGGGGAGCGAACAGG